rnacentral:misc_RNA from 1 species
GAUGAAGAACGUAGCGAAAUGCGAUAAGUAAUGUGAAUUGCAGAAUUCAGUGAAUCAUCGAAUCUUUGAACGCACAUUGCGCCCCCUGGUAUUCCGGGGGGCAUGCCUGUUCGAGCGUCAUUUCACCACUCAAGCCUCGCUUGGUAUUGGGCAACGCGGUCCGCCGCGUGCCUCAAAUCGACCGGCUGGGUCUUCUGUCCCCUAAGCGUUGUGGAAACUAUUCGCUAAAGGGUGUUCGGGAGGCUACGCCGUAAAACAACCCCAUUUCUAAGGUUGACCUCGGAUCAGGUAGGGAUACCCGCUGAACUUAAGCAUAUCAAUAAGCCGGAGGA